UGAUGAUAUGAUGAUCAAAUUUGAUUCCCUAUUGGUUUGAUUGGCCGCCAUGAUGGCCUCAAAUUGUAUUAGCUCUAUCUGAUCAUCU
rfam:Oryza sativa Japonica Group DNA, chromosome 1, cultivar: Nipponbare, complete sequence.